rnacentral:lncRNA from 1 species
CCAAAUUCGGCUAGUCACGCGGGGCCAACGUUCGGGAACCGGUCCCUGCCUGCCAGAGACCGGUUGCACCGAGGAACCCCGCCAGCCCAGCCUGAUGGGACCGGUCCCUCCCUGCCAGGGACUGGUCCCCGAGAGCAAAUUCUGCUCCAGUGCAGAUUUUGCACUGCAGCUCUCGCGGACCCUUCCUCAAUGCACUCUAGGCAUUUUAAUCACCUUCGGGCUUUCCAAAGCCCACACCCUCGACAAACAGUUGAUUCUGAAUGAAGUCCAAUCCUCGGCCCUCGAGAAUUUACUUCCUUACAUUCUCCCCAUCUUUAAAAGAGUUUCGUCAUCGAAACGAACUCAACAUUACAAAAUUCCAAAUCUUAAACUCAUACCUCAGCUUAAGCCUCGAACAGGUGAGGGUGGUUCGCUUUCAUCUCGCUUUCGAGCUCCCAGGUGGCUUCGCGAUCCCCAUGAUUGCUCCACCGGACUCGAACAUAGGGAAUUUCCCGACUCCUCAACUUACGCACUUCUCGAGCUAAAAUCAUCACCGGAAACUCCUCGUAGCUCAUAUCUUCUUGCAGUUCCAGCGGCUCGUACACCAAAACAUGUUCGGGGUCAUGCACGUACUUACGAAGAUUGGAGACGUGGAAUACGUUGUGCACACCCGCCAACUUAGGUGGCAAUGCUAGUCGGUAAGCCACCGUCCCAAUCCGCUCCAAAACCUCGUAGGGGCCAAUGUAACGAGGACUUAACUUCCCUCGCACCCCAAACCUCCUUACACCUCUCAUCGGCGAAACUUUCAAAAACACGCGGUCACCCACCGCGAACUCUAGAUCUCUACGGCGCUUAUCCGAAUAACUCUUCUGCCGAGACUGCGCCGCGAGCAAUCUCUUGCGAGCAACGUGGACUCUCCUCCGCCUCUCGCAAUACAUCUGGACCAAACUCCACUCGCUCGCCUACAUCACUCCAAUGGAUGGGAGAUCGGCACUUCCGCCCAUAAAGAGCCUCGAACGGUGCCAUCCCCACACGCGCGUGAUAACUGUUGUUGUAGGCGAACUCGGCCAUCGGUAGGUGCUUACACCAACUUCCUUUAUAAUCAAUGGCACACGCCCGUAACAUAUCCUCCAGGGUUUGGAUGGUCCUCUCGGUUUGCCCAUCGGUCUGAGGAUGAAAAGCGGUACUGAACUCGAGUCGUGUGCCAAGGGCUUCUUGCAGGCUCCUCCAAAAGUGUGAAGUAAACUUGGGGUCUCGAUCUGACACAAUCGACUUCGGCACCCCGUGCAACCUCACCACCUCAUCAAGAUACACCUGCGCGAGCUUCUCACCUGCCCAAGUGUUGUGGAUUGGCAGAAAGUGCGCCGAUUUUGUCAAACGGUCCACAAUCAACCAAAUCGCGUCGUGGCCACCCGUUGAACGAGGUAAGCCGACGAUAAAGUCCAUCGACACAUACUCCCAUUUCCAGACAGGAAUAGACAGACUCUGAAGCUUCCCCGCCGGAAACCGACGCUCCGCUUUCACUUGUUGACACACCAAACACUUCGCCACGAAGCGCCCAAUAUCAACCUUCAUUCCCGGCCACCAAUACAGUGUCUUCAAUUCGUGAAACAUCUUGGUGCCGCCCGGGUGGUCGACAUAAGGAAACCAAUGCGCUUCUUGUAGAAUCAACUUGCGAAGCUCCUCGUCGUUUGGCACGCACCACCGGUUUCGAAACCGUAGUGCACCGCUAGCGUCCACGCUGAAAUCUCCGCGGCGGCCGCUUUCAAUAUUGAGCCGCACCUUCUGGAGAUUCGGGUCUGCAGACUGCCGGCUUUUGAUCCUCUCCAACAAGGUCGGUUGGAUCACCAACGACAUCAACCUAGCCGGGGUUUCCUGGGUUACCACCUCAAGUUCCAUCUUCCCCAUUUGCAACCAUAGGGGCGUUUGAUUUGUAAACCACAAGGCUAAGUUCUCCAUCGACUUCCGACUAAGCACUUCCGCGACUACAUUCGCUUUUCCGGGGUGGUAAAGGAUAUCGACGUCGUAAUCCUUAAGCAAUUCCAACCACCGCCGUUGCCGCAUGUUUAACUCCUUCUGGGUAAACAAAUACUUUAGGCUUUUAUGGUCGGUGUAGAUCUCGCAAUGAGCACCAUACAAAUAAUGUCUCCAAAGUUUCAAAGCGAAGAUCACCGCCGCCAAUUCCAAAUCAUGUAUGGGGUAGUUCUUCUCGUAGCUCUUCAACUGACGGGAUGCAUAAGCAAUCACCCUCCCGCCUUGCAUCAGCACACACCCCAAACCCAGAUAGGACGCGUCGCUAAAAACGACAUAAUCCUCACCCUGCACCGGUAAGGCGAGUACCGGAGUCGAAGUUAACCUCUCCUUCAGCUCUUGGAAACUCCGAUCGCACUCGUCGCUCCAAACGAAUCUGGUGCCCUUCUGCGUCAGACGGGUGAGUGGAGUCACGAUCUUCGAGAAUCCCUCCACAAACCGUCGAUAAUAACCCGCUAGGCCCACAAAGCUUCGGACCUCCGUGACAUUCGUCGGGCGUGGCCAACUCUCAAUAGCCUCUACCUUCCUCGGGUCAACAGAUACACCGUGUGACGCCCUAAUUUCCCAGGGGGUCACCCAUCCUAGGACUACUCCCGUCCUAGCACGCUUAACUCUCUUAACCUCUUGGGCCUUGCCACCACCCAAAAUGCUUAAGCCGGUUAAGAGUUUAGCUCUAUAAUAUCACAUAUAUAGGACUAUCUGGGGUCUCACACACCGCCCUCGGAAAUAACAUGCCCGAGAAAAGCAACUUCUCGGAGCCAGAAGUCACACUUCUUCAACUUCGCGUACAACUUCUUCUCCCGAAGGAUUUGAAGUACAAUGCGUAAAUGCUCCGCAUGCUCCUCUUCAUUGCGUGAAUAGACCAAGAUGUCGUCUAUGAAGACUACGACAAAUCGAUCUAGACACUCCCUGAACACUCGGUUCAUCAAGCUCAUGAACGCAGCCGGGGCAUUCGUAAGCCCAAACGGCAUCACGGUGAACUCGUAGUGUCCAUACCGCGUACGGAAUGCCGUCUUCGGAACAUCCUUCGGCUUAAACUUCAAUUGAUGGUAGCCGGAUUGAAGGUCAAUCUUUGAGUACACUCGCGACCCCUGUAGCUGAUCAAACAAGUCGUCGAUGCGGGGUAACGGGUACUUGUUCUUCACCGUGACCUUAUUCAACUCACGAUAAUCCACGCAGAGUCGGAAAGAUCCAUCCUUCUUGCGCACGAACAACACCGGGGCUCCCCACGGCGACACACUCGGCGUAAUAAAUCCCUUGUCAAGAAGAUCUUGCAAUUGAUCUCUCAACUCUCUCAGCUCGGCCGGCGCCAUGCGAUAAGGGGCCUUUGAUAUCGGCGCGGUCCCGGGAAUCAAGUCUAUCAUGAACUCAAUCUCCCGGUCCGGCGGCAUCCCGGGUAACUCUGCGGGAAAUACAUCUGGGAACUCCCGCACAACUGCCAACUCCUCGAGAGUCGGAACAACUCGACCAACUUCCACAACGGUCGCUAGAUAAGCCGUGCAACCGUCGUUCACUAGCUUCCUCGCUCUCGUCGCCGACACCGUCGCGGCGAAACACGAACUCUUGCAAGCUCAAUACGUGACCUCCUCGUGUCCCGGCUCCCGAAAUGUGAUCACUCUGGUCUUGCAAUCAAUGGACACAUAAUACUUCGAGAGCCAGUCCAUGCCCAGUAUCACAUCAAACUCCUUUAAUCUUUUGAGCACCAAUAGAUCGACCGGCAUAACCCAGUCGCCUACUUGUACUGGGCACGCCAAACACCGCUUCCUAACAAUAAACGCUCGUCCGGGUCCUUCUACAUGCCAAAUGUUUUCCCCUAGACGAAUUUCGAUACCAUGCUCUUGUGCGAAUGACCAGUUAAUAAACGAGUGAGACGCACUAGUAUCAAAAAGAGCUCUUGCUCGAACACCAUUUACCAAAAUCAUACCUGCCACCACAUUGCGCUACUCGGCUUCGGUGGGCUCCUCGACUUGUACUUGGGCGGCAUACAUCCGCCCGCUCGUAGCCGAUCGGGCUGGUUCAGGUUGGCGUGGCGCCGCCGCUCACCCAGCUGACGCCCCAGCAGGUGGAACUCCAUAGCGAGCCGGAAUCGCCGGGGCCGAUGCGACAGAUGGAGCAGGUGAAGCCCCUCCUUGAGGACAGUCGCGUGCGAUGUGCCCUGCUUGCCCGCACCUAAAGCAUUUUCCUCGGCGCUGAUCACACAUACUGGGUCGGUGGUCACCGCCACAAAAGAUACACCGCUGCGCUCCGCGGCCCUUGGGUUGCGAUCGGGGAUACUUCGGGGGCCUUCUUGAACUCGAUUGUCCACCCGAACCACCGCCUGGUCGCUUCCUCCCUUUAUCCUUCUCAAACGUCUCACGGUCCUCACGCUCGCAGGCGUUCCCGUGUUUGACCCACAAGGCACGGUCUAAGGCCUCCGCGAAAGUAUGAAACUUGAAGGCAUGCACCGUCCUAAACACUCCGGGUCGGAGCCCUCUUACGAAGCAAUCUGCUCGAUCUUGCUCCGUUACCGCGACGUCCGGGACGCAGUUCAAAAGAUGAGUGAACUCCCGCUCGUACUCCCGAAUCGUCCGGUUGCCUUGCUUCAGCUUCCUGAAGUCUUCCCGCAUCUUUCUCUUAUCGCUGUCAGGGAAGUACUCCGCAAACAUCAAUCUUCGGAACUCCUCCCAAUCGAUCGGGGAAAGAUCCGACGAUCGGUCCUGCUUCACUCUUUUCCACCACACCCUGGCCCGCUUGUCAAAACAGUGAGCGGCCAGAUUCACCUUGUCCCGCUCCUCGGUGUAGAUGUCCUCGAACAACGUCUCCAUGGCGGCUAACCACGUCUCCACCGUCCAUGGGUCAAUCACCUCUCCGUCGAACGUGGGCGGAUGGAAUUUCGUGAACCUUGUGAGAGCCGUGUAUCCACGCUCUCGCUCCACCUCCUCAGCCGCUACUCUGGGCGUAGGGGAACUAGACACCGCAGGAGGAAUAUCCACCGGUGGGGGUUGCGCCGCCACCGGAACCGGCGCAUCGCACGCACCCUCAGCCGCAUUGGGAGCGCGGACUGAAGGCGCAGGCGGAUCAUGGCCUUGACCAACCGCCGCGGCCGCUGCCUGUCGCUCCAACAACUCCUGGAGCCGAUCGAACCGUCCUGUUAGCGCCGCAACUUGCGCUCGCAAUUCUUGUACCUCGCUAGGCCCAGCCGGCUCUGGCGCCACCGGGGGCACAACUGGCUCGGGCACCUCUGGAGGUGGUGCCGGAGCAGUCCUACACACGUAGCGUCCCUUCGGUGCCAUAAGCUCCUGAAACGCACACAGUCGGUUAAUUAUUCAACCCAACCACGUCUUCGCAAUUACGGAACGAUAUUGCUCAACUACGUUAAUCAGACGGAAGCUCAUGAGUGUACUCAUUCUUGACUCCCGGCAUCGUGUUGUCGGCCGCCAACACAACCGCCUUAAGCCAAGAACUAGUAUCACUCAAUUCAUCUCUAGCAAUUACUAGAGUAUCAACACCAACUUCGACCCAAUCGAUCAACUUCCGCCGCGUCAUAGGUUCACGUCGCACUCACGCACCUAUAACCUUAUGGUUUACCGUCCUAGAGUCUCCUAGGUCAGUCAUAGACUCUCUCUUUUGCUUGCUCUUACUAUCGCUCUGAUACCACAACUGUCACGCCCCCGACCGCACUACUCGAAAACGGUACCGAUUUGGUCCGGUUCGAGGGCGGCGGGCGUGAGGCCGAACGGACAGCACCUCCCCUGUCCGCCCAAGGCUCAAGAGACAAGAUUGUGUACAACAAGUUCCCAGGAAGCACUUGGAUAUACAUACACAAUCAAACGAUAACAACGAAAGCACAACCAGUGCCUAUCAACCAAGAGCAAGCAACACAAGUAAAGCAUACAAGUGAUAAGAGAGAGAGAUGUACUUAACUGCUAAACUCACUUUAUACAACCAUUCAUCUUUUACAUUCUUCCAAGAUAUAUGCACAAUGUAUACAAUCCUCUCAAAACCUCACCCUAUACAUCAAUCUACUCUCAAAAUAAGUAAAGGGUGUAACUAAGGCAUAAAGGGAAGUAAACCUCUGCUAGUAUCGCUAGGGCGCUAUGCCCUUGCCGCGAUCCUCACCGGGGGCGCUCGAGCUCGGACCUGUAACAUGGUGGAGUGAGAACUACGAAUAGUUCCCAGUGGGUUCGGCCGCCGACUCCGCCGAUCUCCCCACUAGGUCUAAGCAGGCACAGAUAGAUAUACAGAUAGAUAGAUAUAUGAAAUCAAAAGCAUCUUCAGUAAUAAGCAUCUAUAAACUAGAAUCUAUCAAUGCCUCAAUCUAAUGUAAUGCAUGCAUGGAACUAAUAGUAAGAUGGCCAGCUAUCAACUACUAUGUUCAAUAAUUGAAUCAUUCAUCUGGUUACCCAAUCUCUCGGCGAACACAAGGCUCGCACACUGUCUCACGUGUAUCAAUCUCCUAGGGAGGUGGCUAGCUCUUCACCUACCCCGAGACCGCCUGCGGACACUACACUGGUCCAAGGGCACUACACUGGCCCCCUCGCGUGCCAAACUCCGGACUGCACUACCUGUGAGGCGCUACCACCACAGGUGCAGAUAGGCUAAGUGAGCUCGAUCCAAUCUCAUGAACUGGGAACACCCUAACCAACUAGGAUUGGUGUCACUGAAGAAUCAGGUGUUCAUCUGCUCAAUCUCAUAGUGUCUCAACUACACUAAAGUUCUCAAGUUCAAUGUCAACUAGAUGCCACUCGUUCUGGGUUCAUUGUUAACUAGAUGCCACUCGUUCUGAUUACACUAGUUUACAAUAUACUAGGUUCUCAUUCACAUAGACAUAUUCAUUACAUAUAGGGUUAACUACCUCAUAGUGUUCAACUCAUGCAUACUAGGUUCUCAUCCAUUGUAUUCACAACCCAAACUAUCACUAGCAUGCAAGGAUAUGCACAAUUACAUUUAACACCCUAUAAUGCUAUAUUACAGUAUGAAUUUAAUCGACAUAAUAACCCAGACAUAGAAAGCAGCUCGACUGCUUCGGGAUGGCACUCCCCCACCUUUUGGUCGUGCCGCGCGACUAGACAACUCGACGUCGCGGUCUUCGUGCGUCGCUUCAGCACCUCGGGGCAAAACGAACCCCCGAGUAUCAGUUUCGGCGAUAUCUUCGCACCCGCUCGUUGGAUCGACGAACCGUCUUCGCCUACACGUUCAGAGACCAAGCAAUUAGGUUUGCGACCACUUAAAAUAGAUCAAAACCCUAGCCUUCUCUUUCUCUUUCUCUUCUUUUCCUUCUUCUUCUUCCUCUCCUUCUUCUUCUCCUUCUCCUUCUUCUUCUUCUUCUUUCUAGAGAGAGAGAGAGAGAAAGAGUGUGAGAGAGGGAGAGAGAGAAAGCAACUGAGAGGGAGAGAGAGGUCCCCCACCUCUAUUAAAGGCCACUUUGCAAUUAGCCCCCCCUCACUUUCUACCUUCUGAACUAGCCCUCACUGGGCAUUUUCGCAGCGAGGGACUGGUCCCAGCUCGGGGAGACCGGUCCCCGAAGGCCACCCAUUCGGGCAGAGGGGAUUUCGCGUUCGGGAAUCGGUCCCUGUCUGAGAGACCGGUACCCGGGAGACCGGUCCUUGGCUGAGAGACCGGUUUCCGAGAGUAGUAUUUUCGGGACUUAGCCAAAUUUCGGCUAAUCACGCGGGGCCAACGUUCGGGAACCGGUCCCUGCCUGCCAGAGACCGGUUGCACCGAGGAACCCCGCCAGCCCAGCCUGAUGGGACCGGUCCCUCCCUGCCAGGGACCAGUCCCCGAGAGCAAAUUCUGCUCCAGUGCAGAUUUUUCACUGCAGCUCUCGCGGACCCUUCCUCAAUGCACUCUAGGCAUUUUAAUCACCUUCGGGCUUUCCAAAGCCCACACCCUCGACAAACAGUCGAUUCUGAAUGAAGUCCAAUCCUCGGCCCUCGAGAAUUUACUUCCUUACA